UAGCCGUAAACGAUACUCGCUAGGUGUCGGCCACGGUGCGACCGUUGUCGGUGCCGUAGGGAAGCCGUGAAGCGAGCCACCUGGGAAGUACGGCCGCAAGGCUGAAACUUAAAGGAAUUGGCGGGGGAGCACAACAACGGGUGGAGCUUGCGGUUUAAUUGGACUCAACGCCGGGAAGCUCACCGGAUAAGACAGCGGAAUGAUUGCCGGGCUGAAGACUCUGCAUGACCAGCUGAGAGGUGGUGCAUGGCGUAGUCGUGU
rnacentral:rRNA from 1 species